AGUCGAGCGGUAGCACAGGGGAGCUUGCUCCCUGGGUGACGAGCGGCGGACGGGUGAGUAAUGUCUGGGAAACUGCCUGAUGGAGGGGGAUAACUACUGGAAACGGUAGCUAAUACCGCAUAACGUCGCAAGACCAAAGAGGGGGACCUUCGGGCCUCUUGCCAUCAGAUGUGCCCAGAUGGGAUUAGCUAGUAGGUGGGGUAAUGGCUCACCUAGGCGACGAUCCCUAGCUGGUCUGAGAGGAUGACCAGCCACACUGGAACUGAGAUACGGUCCAGACUCCUACGGGAGGCAGCAGUGGGGAAUAUUGCACAAUGGGCGCAAGCCUGAUGCAGCCAUGCCGCGUGUGUGAAGAAGGCCUUCGGGUUGUAAAGCACUUUCAGCGAGGAGGAAGGUGGUGAGCUUAAUACGUUCAUCAAUUGACGUUACUCGCAGAAGAAGCACCGGCUAACUCCGUGCCAGCAGCCGCGGUAAUACGGAGGGUGCAAGCGUUAAUCGGAAUUACUGGGCGUAAAGCGCACGCAGGCGGUUUGUUAAGUCAGAUGUGAAAUCCCCGGGCUCAACCUGGGAACUGCAUUUGAAACUGGCAAGCUAGAGUCUCGUAGAGGGGGGGUAGAAUUCCAGGUGUAGCGGUGAAAUGCGUAGAGAUCUGGAGGAAUACCGGUGGCGAAGGCGGCCCCCUGUACGAGACUGACGCUCAUGUGCGAAAGCGUGGGGAGCAAACAGAUUAGAUACCCUGGUAGUCCACGCUGUAACGAUGUCGAUUUGGAGUUGUGCCCUUGAGUCGUGGCUUUCCGGAGCUAACGCGUUAAAUUCGACCGCU
rnacentral:rRNA from 1 species